AGGAUUGUAAAGGUGGCGUCUUCGGCGUCCGCAUUGUAAUCUCAAGAAGUGUUUUCCGCUUCGGACCAAGCCUAAGUCCCCUGGAAAGGGGCAUCAUAGAGGGUGAUAAUCCCGUACAUGGCAUGGAGCGCCCGAAGCUUUGUGAUACGCUUUCUAAGAGUCGAGUUGUUUGGGAAUGCAGCUCAAAAUGGGUGGUAAAUGCCAUCUAAGGCUAAAUAUUGGGGAGAGACCGAUAGCGAACAAGUACAGUGAUGGAAAGAUGAAAAGAACUUUGAAAAGAGAGUUAAACAGUACGUGAAAUUGCUAAAAGGGAAGGGUAGGAGGUCAGAGAUGCGGCCUGGGAUUCAGCCUUGCUUUUGCCUGGUGUUUUUCCCAGAUUGCAGGCCAACGUCGGUUUUGGGCGCUGGAGAAGGGUGGAAGGAAUGUGGCACCUCUCGGGGUGUGUUAUAGCCUUCUACUGGAUACAGUGACCGAGACCGAGGACAGCAGCGUACUCGCAAGAGCGGGCCUUCGGGCACCUUUACGCUUAGGGCGUUGGCAUAAUGGCCCUCUACCACCCGUCUUG
rnacentral:rRNA from 1 species